rnacentral:rRNA from 1 species
UGAGGAAUAUUGGUCAAUGGGCGAGAGCCUGAACCAGCCAAGUAGCGUGCAGGAUGACGGCCCUAUGGGUUGUAAACUGCUUUUAUAUGGGAAUAAAGUGAGGGACGUGUCCCUUAUUGCAUGUACCAUAUGAAUAAGGACCGGCUAAUUCCGUGCCAGCAGCCGCGGUAAUACGGAAGGUCCAGGCGUUAUCCGGAUUUAUUGGGUUUAAAGGGAGCGUAGGCUGUUUGUUAAGCGUGUUGUGAAAUGUAAGAGCUCAACUUUUGGAUUGCAGCGCGAACUGGCAGACUUGAGUGCGCACAACGUAGGCGGAAUUCAUGGUGUAGCGGUGAAAUGCUUAGAUAUCAUGACGAACUCCGAUUGCGAAGGCAGCUUACGGGAGCGCAACUGACGCUAAAGCUCGAAGGUGCGGGUAUCGAACAGG